GUUGGAACAGGUAUAAUCCAAGACAACCGUGCAAGAAGCAGGUGUCACCCCAAAGAAGAGAGUACCUGAGUACAAGAAACAGUUUAGCAAUAAGGAAUCCACUCGAAAGGUAAGUUUCCACGGAAUUCUCUUUUAUCUUUUACUAAAACAAGAAAAAAAAAUCAGUUAGUAUCCUCGAACUUUUUCCUUUAGUCAGCAUUAGGGUUUUAAACCCUAAACUGAACUUUUCCUUUAGUCAGCAUUAGGGUUUUAAACCCUAAACUGAACGUUUCCUUUAGUUAGCAUUAGGGUUUUAAACCCUAAACUGAACUUUUCCUUUAGUCAGCAUUAGGGUUUUAAACCCUAAACUGAACUUUUCCUUUAGUCAGCAUUAGGGUUUUAAACCCUAAACUGAACUUUUCCUUUAGUCAGCAUUAGGGUUUUAAAACCUAAACUGAACUUUUCCUUUAGUCAGUAUUAGGGUUUUAAACCCUAAACUGAACUCUUUCCAUUCAGUCAGCAUUAGGGUUUUAAACCCUAAACUGAACUUUUUCAGCAUUAGGGCUUCAACCCUAAAACUGAACUUUUGUCCAUUCAGUCAGCAUUAGGGCCCCAACCCUAAACUAAACUUUUCCCCAGUUAGUCAGCAUUAGGGUUUCAACUCUAAACUGAACUUCUCCCCAGCUAGUCAGCGUUAGGGCUCCAGCCUUGAACUGAACUAUUUCCAUUCCGCCAGCAUUAGGACUCUAACCCUUAACUGAGCAUUUGUCUGUCAGCCAGCAUUAGGGCUCCAACCCUGAACUGAGCAUUUUUACCUUAGGGCAAUAUUAGGGAUCCAAUUCCGGAGUUGCAUUUU
rnacentral:lncRNA from 1 species